AAAGUAUGUUGAUUUAUCGCAUGUUUUGUUUUUCAAAACAAGAGGAAAGUCCGGACACAUUAUGGAGAACACAACGGAUAACACCCGUACAUCGUGAGAUGAGGAAUAGUACAACAGAAAGUAUAUACAGUUGAGCUGUAGUGAAAUCAUGUAAACUCUGUGUUGUGAAAUGCCAAAUAUACCAGAAACUUUUUGAAAAAAGUAUAGUUUCUCCAUAACUAUUAUAAUGGUGGGUAGGCAGAUAGAGAGAAAAGGUAACUUUUAUACUAGAUAAAUGAUAAAUUAUACAGAAUCUGGCUUAUAGACAUACUUUAAAA
rnacentral:RNase_P_RNA from 1 species